GCCUGGGUGGCUCAGUGGGUCAAGCAUCUGACUUCGGCUCAGGUCAUGAUCUUGCAGUUUGUGAGUUCGAGUCUUGCAUCAGGCU
rfam:Felis catus isolate Cinnamon breed Abyssinian chromosome F2, whole genome shotgun sequence.